AACACACCAACCACUCCAUUAGAGAACGAACUUCGUAUGAACAUGAAUAGUCCAAUUUCUUGGAUCAAUCGAUAUCAGAUGGACCCCAAAACUUGGGGAACAUCAUAAUAUGGCGGGAGGAGUCAUUUGGUGGGUUUUGAACGAUAUCCAGUGGCUAAAACCAUGCAAUACACUAACCACUCCAAUUCUAACAGAACUUCGUACGAACCUGAAUGUUCUAAUUUCAUGGACCAAUCGAUAUCGGAUUGAGUCCAAAACUUGGAGAACAUCAUAAUAUGGCGG
rnacentral:lncRNA from 1 species